rnacentral:rRNA from 1 species
AGGAUGAACGCUGGCGGUCUGCUUAACACACGCAAGUCGAACGGGCGUAGCAAUACGUUAGUGGCGGACGGGUGAGUAACGCGUGAGAAUCUACCUUCAGGACGGAGACAACAGUUGGAAACGACUGCUAACCCCCGAUGUACUGAAAAGGCAAAUAUUUAUAGCCUGAAGAAGAGCUCGCGUCCGAUUAGCUAGUUGGAGAGGUAAAAGCUCACCAAGGCGACGAUCGGUAGCUGGUCUGAGAGGACGAUCAGCCACACUGGGACUGAGACACGGCCCAGACUCCUACGGGAGGCAGCAGUGGGGAAUUUUCCGCAAUGGGCGAAAGCCUGACGGAGCAAGACCGCGUGGGGGAAGAAGGCUCUUGGGUUGUAAACCCCCGUUUUCUCUGGGAAGAAAGUUGUGAAAGCAGCCUGACGGUACCAGAGGAAUCAGCAUCGGCUAACUCCGUGCCAGCAGCCGC